rnacentral:rRNA from 1 species
UACGUAGGGUGCGAGCGUUGUCCGGAAUUAUUGGGCGUAAAGGGCUCGUAGGCGGUCUGUCGCGUCGGGAGUGAAAACUCAGGGCUUAACCCUGAGCCUGCUUCCGAUACGGGCAGACUAGAGGUAUGCAGGGGAGAACGGAAUUCCUGGUGUAGCGGUGGAAUGCGCAGAUAUCAGGAGGAACACCGGUGGCGAAGGCGGUUCUCUGGGCAUUACCUGACGCUGAGAAGCGAAAGCAUGGGGAGCGAACAGG